GAGCGAAUAGCUUAAUUUAAAAGCGUGACACUGAAGAUGUUAAAAUAGAUCAUAUCUUUUGCUCAG
rnacentral:tRNA from 1 species